rnacentral:rRNA from 1 species
UUGCAACAAGGGAUAUACAACGCUGCCGAGAUACAUUCUAAAUUUGAGAAGACUAAUCGCCUAGACCAUGAAGAUAUGGUGAUGCUCCUUGUGCUCGAGUUCGCUGAUCCCAAUGAUCGAGAAGGAGGCAGACACUACUGGGUGUUUAACAUCAACUCAAGGGAUCAACAUUUCGAGGUGCUAGAUUCUCGGAGGAAGCUCGACAACCCUGCCUUAAUGCACUGUGCUUCAACUAUAGCGGGGGCUGUGAGGUGUUUAUGGAAGCAUCAUUACCCAAAGCACAAUAUCAGUCACUUUCAAGUCAUCGACAUUGAUGUACCCAAGCAACUUGGGAAGUAA